CCUACGGGAGGCAGCAGUGAGGAAUAUUGGUCAAUGGGCGCGAGCCUGAACCAGCCAAGUCGCGUGAAGGAUGACUGCCCUACGGGUUGUAAACUUCUUUUAUAAAGGAAUAAAGUGAGGCACGUGUGCCUUUUUGUAUUUACUUUAUGAAUAAGAAUCGGCUAACUCCGUGCCAGCAGCCGCGGUACUACGGAGGAUCCGAGCGUUAUCCGGAUUUAUUGGGUUUAAAGGGAGCGUAGAUGGGUUGUUAAGUCAGUUGUGAAAGUUUGGGGCUCAACCGUAAAAUUGCAAUUGAUACUGGCAGCCUUGAGUACAGGUGAGGUAGGCGGAAUUCGUGGUGUAGCGGUGAAAUGCUUAGAUAUCACGAAGAACUCCGAUUGCGAAGGCAGCUUACUAGACUGCCACUGACAUUGAUGCGCGAAAGUGUGGGUAUCAAACAGGAUUAGAUACCCUUGUAGUC
rnacentral:rRNA from 1 species